rnacentral:lncRNA from 1 species
GUGUAUUGACGCAAAAUGCUACUCGAUCAUUCUUGGUUGCUCCACUCCAUUCCACUAAGUAAGCGCCACGUGAAAUCAAAAUUUGAAGAAAAAGAAAGGCAAGAAAUCGUAGAGAAAACGCUAAGACAUAACGUGGACUGAAAAUAGACACUUGGAAUGCCCCAUCGCACAGCAGAUUACGCAGCCUUUUGAUGACGCAAUGGCUUGAUAUUGUCGUAAAGGGAAAGAUCAGAGCUUUUUCAGAUGGCUACAGCAUCAUGCUUUGGUAUGCAAAACUAAUGAGACUAA